rnacentral:misc_RNA from 1 species
GAUGAAGAACGUAGCGAAAUGCGAUAAGUAAUGAGAAUUGCAGAAUUCAGUGAAUCAUCGAAUCUUUGAACGCACAUUGCGCCCGCCAGCACUCUGGCGGGCAUGCCUGUCCGAGCGUCAUUUACCACCCUCGGGCCCCCUGGGGGGCCCGGUGCUGGGGGCACGGCCCAGGCCGCCCCCGAAAUGCAGUGGCGACCCCGCCGCGUCCUCCCCUGCGCAGUAGCACAAUCUCGCACCGGAAGCGCGGAGGCGGUCACGCCUGGAAACGCCCCAACUCAACGCAGUUGACCUCGGAUCAGGUAGGAGUACCCGCUGAACUUAAGCAUAUCAAUAAGCGGAGGA